GGAUGUGAGGGCCAUCUGUGACAUCAGUCACCUCAUUGACUGCCAGGUUUGAUCUGGUUGACUGAUCUAGCUGGCUAGAUAGUGUUUCUUUCCUCUCCCUUCCUGAACAUUCGUGUACAUCCCCUUCCCUGGAAGCUGUGAGAUCAGAGAAAAUCUUCUUCAAUAUAAGAGGCUUAUUUCUUGGUUGAGGGCAUGUAAGUGAGUUUGUGUGUUCCCCUACUAGAGCACUAAGAGACCCCACUACUCUCAAUUUCUCAGGAAGUAUUGGG
rnacentral:sRNA from 1 species